rnacentral:rRNA from 1 species
AUAGGUUUGGUCCCAGCCUUCCUGUUAACUUUCAAUAGGCUUAUACAUGCAAGCAUCCACGCCCCGGUGAGUAACGCCCUUCGAAUCACACAGGACUAAAAGGAGCAGGUAUCAAGCACACACUCUUGUAGCUCACAACGCCUUGCUUAACCACACCCCCACGGGAGACAGCAGUAACAAAAAUUAAGCCAUAAACGAAAGUUUGACUAAGCCAUAUUGACCAGGGUUGGUAAAUCUCGUGCCAGCCACCGCGGUCAUACGAUUGACCCAAGCUAACAGGAGUACGGCGUAAAGCGUGUUAAAGCAUCAUACUAAAUAGAGUUAAAUUUUAAUUAAACUGUAAAAAGCCAUAAUUAUAACAAAAAUAAAUGACGAAAGUAACCCUACAAUAGCUGAUACACCAUAGCUAAGACCCAAACUGGGAUUAGAUACCCCACUAUGCUUAGCCCUAAACACAAAUAAUUAU